UUGGACGAGGGGCCCCUCUCGGGUUACCGAAUUCAGACAAACUCCGAAUGCCAAUUAAUUUAACUUGGGAGUCAGAACAUGGGUGAUAAGGUCCGUGUUCGAAAGGGAAACAGCCCAGACCACCAGCUAAGGUCCCAAAAUAUAUGUUAAGUGGAAAAGGAUGUGGCGUUGCUUAGACAACCAGGAUGUUGGCUUAGAAGCAGCCAUCAUUUAAAGAAAGCGUAACAGCUCACUGGUCAAGCGUUCCUGCGCGGAAAAUGUAACGGGGCUUAAGUGAUACACCGAAGCUGCGGACUCGAAAGAGUGGUAGCGGAGCGUUCUGUAAGUCUGUGAAGGUGGCCUGCGAGGGCUGCUGGAGAUAUCAGAAGUGAGAAUGCUGACAUGAGUAGCGAUAAAGAGGGUGAGAGGCCCUCUCGCCGAAAGUCCAAGGGUUCCUGCGUAAAGUUAAUCUUCGCAGGGUUAGCCGGCCCCUAAGGCGAGGCCGAAAGGCGUAGUCGAUGGGAACCACGUUAACAAUCGUGGGCCAGCGGGUGGUGACGGAUGCCGUAUGUCG
rnacentral:rRNA from 13 species